rnacentral:rRNA from 1 species
UACGUAGGGGGGCAAGCGUUUGUUCGGAUUCAUUGGGCGUAAAGGGCGCGUAGGCGGCCACCGCAAGUCGGUUGUGAAAUCUCCGGGCUUAACCCGGAAAGGUCAAUCGAUACUGCGGGGCUAGAGUGCAGAAGGGGCAACUGGAAUUCUCGGUGUAGCGGUGAAAUGCGUAGAUAUCGAGAGGAACACCUGCGGCGAAGGCGGGUUGCUGGGCUGACACUGACGCUGAAGCGCGAAAGCUAGGGGAGCGAACGGG